UACAGAGACUGCAAGCGUUAUUCGGAUUCACUGGGCGUAAAGGGUGCGCAGGUGGCCAGGUGUGUUAGGCGUGAAAGCCCGGGGCUUAACCCCGGAAUUGCACCUAAAACUACUUGGCUAGAGCAUUGGAGAGGGGAGCAGAAUUCAUGGUGUAGCAGUGAAAUGCGCAGAUAUCAUGAGGAAUACCAGAGGCGAAGGCGGCUCCCUGGACAAUUGCUGACACUCAGGCACGAAAGCGUGGGGAGCAAAAGGG
rnacentral:rRNA from 1 species